UCGGGAAUUUUGGGCAAUGGGCGAAAGCCUGAUCCAGCCAUGCCGCGUGUGUGAAGAAGGUCUUCGGAUUGUAAAGCACUUUAAGUUGGGAGGAAGGGUUGUAGAUUAAUACUCUGCAAUUUUGGCGUUACCGACAGAAUAAGCACCGGCUAACUCUGUGCCAGCAGCCGCGGUAAUACAGAGGGUGCAAGCGUUAAUCGGAAUUACUGGGCGUAAAGCGCGCGUAGGUGGUUUGUUAAGUUGGAUGUGAAAUCCCCGGGCUCAACCUGGGAACUGCAUCCAAAACUGGCAAGCUAGAGUAUGGUAGAGGGUGGUGGAAUUUCCUGUGUAGCGGUGAAAUGCGUAGAUAUAGGAAGGAACACCAGUGGCGAAGGCGACCACCUGGACUGAUACUGACGCUGAGGCACGAAAGUGUGGGUAUCAAACAGGAUUAGAUACCCUGGUAGUCCCUGAGCGGGCUGGCAAGGCGCAU
rnacentral:rRNA from 1 species